rnacentral:rRNA from 1 species
GACAGAGGGUGCGAACGUUGUUCGGAAUUACUGGGCGUAAAGCGCAUGUAGGCGGCAGCGCAAGUCGGGCGUGAAAUCCCACGGCUCAACCGUGGAAGUGCACUCGAAACUGCGCAGCUAGAGUCCUGGAGAGGAAGGUGGAAUGCUUGGUGUAGAGGUGAAAUUCGUAGAUAUCAAGCGGAACACCGGUGGCGAAGGCGGCCUUCUGGACAGUGACUGACGGCUG